AAGUCAAUUUUUCUUCCGAGGGAUACAUUUCUUUCACUUCCUGUUUUCUCACUUGUUGUCUUAACUGUGGGUCGUUUGUAAGUCAGAUGUUUGUAGCUCUGGGACUGCCUGCAUGUUUUUUGAAGUCCAUUUUCAGUUUGAGACUUACUUUAUGCAACCUUUGUACAAACCUUUUUGCACACUAAUAAUAUUUUUGAAUAUUCCUUCCCACAUAGGAAAAUGCUAUAACUGACCCCAAAGUCCAUGUAUGAAAUUUGAACAAAAUGACUCAAUGGUUAGUACUUAGGAAGAAGAUUGGUGAAAAAUAUUGCUGUAUAUGCAUGUAUUUGACUAAGUCUCUGUGGGAUCACUACUUAUGUAUGUGUGUUUUAAGGGGAAAACACCUGGUCAGUUACAACUCAUAGUUGAGUAAUUAGAACAAUCAAGGAUACAAGCUUGAACCACUUCCUGAAUGGGGUAUAACUUGGGGAAAUGUUUGUAAUGCUUUUUGGGACUUACUGAAUCCUGACUGAAAGCCUACUGCUUGUCUCCUUGCACCAUUGAAGUAAUCUCCAAAGAAGAUGCAUGAAUUUAAUGCAAAGAACUUUAUCAAAACAGGAUCCAAGGUUAGAUUUUCUCAAUCUUGACACCAUCCAGAAGCAAUUGCACCUAUUGACUCUAGGGAAACUUCUGCUCCUACAGUUGACUGUUUUAAAGACUUCCAUAAGAUUGGCUUAGAGAAGAAUUGGCCUGCAGCACUGCAUAUCUAAAGAUAAGAUAUAUACUCCAGAUGGAGAGAGAUAUAGAUUAUCUGAAAGGACAUGACAUUUGGACAUUAUCGCACAAGGAAGCAAACCAGCAUUGAAGCAGAUGACUACUCCUAUUGCAUAAUGCUAUAAAUAUUCUAUUGCCAAUCUGUCUCCUUCCCAGAAAUAUUCCAUUCCUGCUAAUGAUGUAUAAAUUGUGUUUAUAGCAGUUAUCUCAUAACAUUCCCAUAAUCUACUUUGUGUGAUAGGAUCACUUUAUUUCUGUGUUAGCACUUAAAUGAUGUCACUGGAUUGAAUUCCCUCUCUUUCUUGCUCUCCCAAUCCCCCCCCCCCGCCCCCCGCCCCCCAAAAGAAGCCAAAAUCACUGUUCCAUAACUGGAUUUUUUUCCCUUUAUAAUAAUUUUGGCUUCUUUUAAAUUAAAUUCCUGCUGAAACUGUGUAAUUGCUUUAAAAAAUAUUUUUUUCCUUUUCUCUCCCCCCCCCCCCAUUUUCUUUGAUCUUUGAAUUUUAAAAAAUUAAAAAGAAAUCCUAAUACCUAUUUUUGAUCUCCCCCCCCCCAAUCUUUUAAACACGUGCACUGAACUCAAAAAGCAGUUUGUAGAGGUUUCAGAUAACAGAUUUUUUAAAAAAGUAACAGCUUCAGAAUUCAAAGCUUAUUGCUCUUUUUGGCCCUAUCUACCCUGCCGUUUAAUGUGAUUUAGGAAGUGCGUUAUCUUGAGACGUUCAAGAUUUUAAAAUACAUAUCCAAGAUCCAGACCUUUCAUCUUUGGAGAUCUGGGGCCUGUGGAGAUUGCUCCUGAGAUUGCCAUUUGCAAUCUCAGGAGCAGUCUCCACAGAUAAUAUCUCAUCUCUGCAAGCUCAAGCAACCUGCAGAGGAGGGAAGGCGAUGCCAGCCCUUCCUCUAUCACCACCCCCUUUCCUAUCUUUAAAAGGUUAAAAAUAGCCUCCUUAUCAAGACUGGAGAGUGCCCGUCACUCCGUUGCACCCAUAAAUCAUGAAAUUGAGCUUUUGCAUUAUUUACAGGUGCAAUGAAGAAAAGGAGACUCUCCAGCCUCAACGGAGAGGCUAUUUUUAAUGUUUCAAAGCCAAGAAAAGUGGCAAUAGAGGGGAGGACAAGGAGCUGAGUGUAAGGCUAAAAAGGGGGUGAAAGAGAGGGCAAGGGGGAAGUUGUGCCCACCAGUGGCAACACUGGUUCAGCAGAAGUAGGUCUGACCACCUCUCAGCUAAAACAAUGAGGGUUUCACCCCGAUGUAGCCUACAAAUUCACAUGAAACCAACAUUUUAAAUUAUUUAAAAUGCCAAUUUCACACAUAUCUGAGCCAGUGUAAAAGGGCCCUAAGAGACAGAGAAAGGAACACUAAACAUGUAAGUAGUGGGUAUUUCUGUUUCUCAAUCUGAAUGCAGUGAGAUAGUUUCCUUCUUCUUUAAAGUCAAGAUUAAUUUCAUUGUCACCUUAUGUCUUUGAGGUUUUAUCAUCUUUUUUGCCUCAGUUUCUGAUAUCUGUUUGGCUUUACAUUCUGACAUAUAAUAUAUGCAAGUUCACUAAUAGUCUAAUCUAGAGUAGGAGUAAUGUGUAUUUGAAACAGAAAUCACCAUGAAAACAACUAAGCAAACUACACAUUCAGUUUUUUCGUUACAUAAAAUACAUAGAACCUAUGUCCUGAAUGGAUUCUAUCAUCUUCUUCUUCAUCAACACAACCACCAGUAAGAGCAGCAACAACCACACAGACAUCAUUUAUGAAAAAAAUCUAUUUUCUACAGGCUAGAACCAAUCAGAAGCAUCAUGACUUGUUAAUUUUAAUGUAAUUUCUUUCACAUUUGAUGAAUAAUACAGUUAUCUCUUCUAUUUUAAUACAUAUGAAACAGAAUCUAAAAUCAUUAGAACAACGCUAGUAAACCUGUUCUCUUUAGAAGAUAUUUUGAAAAAUGUCUAGUUCUCUUUUUAUGCAAGAUAAUUGCCAUUUGAAUUACACUGAAAAAAAGAGUUGCUUAAUAGUUAGUAAUCCAUUCCCUCAGUCAUAUACUGUACCUGUAAUUAGAUUCUUAUAUGUAAUAUUAUUAUACCAUAGUUUCAAUAACUAAACAGUUUCUUGUCUGAGACCCAUUCAGUGACUUUUUUCUUUAUGAAUCAAUUGACUUUAAUGUUUUUCAUGUGUUUUUCUCUUAAAGUGUAUACAUAUUUCCAAAAAACCCCUAAUAAUUAGUUUACAUUUUGUAAUAAAGAAUAAGCUGUGAUUGUUCUAUGUGGGAUUGCCUUGAAAAAUGGUUGGAAAAAUGGUAGGAGGUCCUUUGCUGUGAAUAGAGUACUAGAAAUGGAAAA